rnacentral:rRNA from 1 species
UACCGAGGUCUCAAGCGUUGUUCGGAUUCAUUGGGCGUAAAGGGUGCGUAGGCGGCGCGGUAAGUCGGGUGUGAAAUUUCGAGGCUUAACUCCGAAACUGCAUUCGAUACUGCCGUGCUUGAGGACUGGAGAGGAGACUGGAAUUUACGGUGUAGCGGUGAAAUGCGUAGAUAUCGUAAGGAAGACCAGUGGCGAAGGCGGGUCUCUGGACAGUUCCUGACGCUGAGGCACGAAGGCCAGGGGAGCAAACGGG